rnacentral:rRNA from 1 species
UCUUUAUAAGAAAAAAGUAGUAAUAAAAUACCAAACUAUUAUAUAUUGGCGGUCAUAUCCUAUCUAGAGAAACUCGCUUAAUAAUCGACAAUACCCGAUAAUUUUCACUUAAAUAACAAACUCAUAUACCGCCGUUACAGUACUAUAUAAUAAAUAAUACUACAAAUUUAUAAAUUGAAUAUUAAUACAAAAUCAGGUCAAGGUGUGGUAACAUUUAAGAUAAAGUAAGUUACACUAACAUAAAAGUUAAGAAAGUCCAUUUAACUCUUAAAAAACAGAAAGAGAAUCUAUAGGUAAAUAUUAAAUUAAAAUUUUAUAUCGAACAAACUAUGAUAAGACGC